GGGUCUUUAGCUCAAUGGCAGAGCAUUUGACUGCAGAGCAAGAGGUCACCGGUUCGAACUUGGUAGGGCCCU
rfam:Ipomoea nil DNA, scaffold: scaffold0878, cultivar: Tokyo-kokei standard.